rnacentral:rRNA from 1 species
UAAGCAGAGGUCUUCAAGCGUUGUUCGGAUUCAUUAGGGCGUAAAGGGUGCUAGGCGGCGCGGUAAGUCGGGUGUGAAAUCUCGGAGCCUUAACUCCGAAACUGACAUUCGAUACUGCCGGUGCUUGAGGACUGGAGAGGAGACGUGGAAUUUACGGUGUAGCGGUGAAAUGCGUAGAUAUCGUAAGGAAGACCCAGUGGCGAAGGCGGCAUCCUGGACCAACACGUGACGCUGGAGGUGCGAAAGCGUGGGGAGCAAACAGG